rnacentral:sRNA from 1 species
GCCGGGCGUGGUGGCUCAUGCCUGUAAUCCUAGCACUUUGGGAGGCCAAGGUGGGUGGAUCACCUGAGGUCAGGAGUUCAAGACCAGCCUGACCAUCAUGGUGAAACCCCAUCUUUA